rnacentral:rRNA from 1 species
UUAAUCGGGGCAGGGUGAGUCGACCCCUAAGGCGAGGCCGAAAGGCGUAGUCGAUGGGAAACAGGUUAAUAUUCCUGUACUUGGUGUUACUGCGAAGGGGGGACGGAGAAGGCUAUGUUGGCCGGGCGACGGUUGUCCCGGUUUAAGCGUGUAGGCUGGUUUUCCAGGCAAAUCCGGAAAAUCAAGGCUGAGGCGUGAUGACGAGGCACUACGGUGCUGAAGCAACAAAUGCCCUGCUUCCAGGAAAAGCCUCUAAGCAUCAGGUAACAUCAAAUCGUACCCCAAACCGACACAGGUGGUCAGGUAGAGAAUACCAAGGCGCUUGAGAGAACUCGGGUGAAGGAACUAGGCAAAAUGGUGCCGUAACUUCGGGAGAAGGCACGCUGAUAUGUAGGUGAAGUCCCUCGCGGAUGGAGCUGAAAUCAGUCGAAGAUACCAGCUGGCUGCAACUGUUUAUUAAAAACACAGCACUGUGCAAACACGAAAGUGGACGUAUACGGUGUGACGCCUGCCCGGUGC